rnacentral:rRNA from 1 species
UACGUAGGGUGCGAGCGUUGUCCGGAAUUAUUGGGCGUAAAGAGCUCGUAGGCGGUGUGUCGCGUCGGCCGUGAAAACCUGGGGCUUAACUCUGGGCGUGCGGUCGAUACGGGCAGACUUGAGUACUGCAGGGGAGACUGGAAUUCCUGGUGUAGCGGUGGAAUGCGCAGAUAUCAGGAGGAACACCGGUGGCGAAGGCGGGUCUCUGGGCAGUAACUGACGCUGAGGAGCGAAAGCGUGGGGAGCGAACAGG